rnacentral:rRNA from 1 species
CAGCAGCCGCGGUAAUACGUAGGUGGCAAGCGUUGUCCGGAAUUAUUGGGCGUAAAGCGCGCGCAGGUGGUUUAAUAAGUCUGAUGUGAAAGCCCACGGCUCAACCGUGGAGGGUCAUUGGAAACUGUUAAACUUGAGUGCAGGAGAGAAAAGUGGAAUUCCCAGUGUAGCGGUGAAAUGCGUAGAGAUUAGGAGGAACACCAGUGGCGAAGGCGGCUUUUUGGCCUGUAACUGACACUGAGGCGCGAAAGCGUGGGGAGCAAACAGGAUUAGAUACCCCCGUAGUCCCUGUCUCUUAUAC